rnacentral:siRNA from 1 species
CUUCUUUGUUGUCGCUGACGCUGC